GUACUCGAGUGGCGAACGGGUGAGUAACACGUGGGUGAUCUGCCCUGCACUUUGGGAUAAGCCUGGGAAACUGGGUCUAAUACCGAAUAGGACUCCGGACUGCAUGGUCUGGGGUGGAAAGCUUUUGCGGUGUGGGAUGGGCCCGCGGCCUAUCAGCUUGUUGGUGGGGUGAUGGCCUACCAAGGCGACGACGGGUAGCCGGCCUGAGAGGGUGUCCGGCCACACUGGGACUGAGAUACGGCCCAGACUCCUACGGGAGGCAGCAGUGGGGAAUAUUGCACAAUGGGCGCAAGCCUGAUGCAGCGACGCCGCGUGAGGGAUGACGGCCUUCGGGUUGUAAACCUCUUUCGCCAGGGACGAAGCGCAAGUGACGGUACCUGGAGAAGAAGCACCGGCCAACUACGUGCCAGCAGCCGCGGUAAUACGUAGGGUGCGAGCGUUGUCCGGAAUUACUGGGCGUAAAGAGCUCGUAGGUGGUUUGUCGCGUUGUUCGUGAAAACUCACAGCUUAACUGUGGGCGUGCGGGCGAUACGGGCAGACUGGAGUACUGCAGGGGAGACUGGAAUUCCUGGUGUAGCGGUGGAAUGCGCAGAUAUCAGGAGGAACACCGGUGGCGAAGGCGGGUCUCUGGGCAGUAACUGACGCUGAGGAGCGAAAGCGUGGGGAGCGAACAGGAUUAGAUACCCUGGUAGUCCACGCC
rnacentral:rRNA from 1 species